rnacentral:lncRNA from 1 species
CCAUAAACUACAUAACGAAGCAUUUAAGAUGCCGCUCGGCAUAUACAAUACAAACUCUGAAAACUGAACCAACAUUUCCCAAAACUCGGAAUCUCAUGAAAUCACAAGCUUUUGAAUGUCUACAAGUAUCUAACUCCAGAGUGUCUAAAUAAAAGAAAAUACAAAAGGGCUAAUACUUUAAGAGAAUAAAAAGGGACUCCUCAGUUUGCAGACGCGGCAGAUAUACCUCGAAUUCUCUGAAAAAUAGCCUCGCCUCAAGGGUGGUAGGGCUGAGCCGAAGUACCUGGAUCUGCACAUGAAAAACAUGCGCAGAGAGGGCAUGAGUACACCACAGCGGUACUCAAUAAGUGUCAAGCCUAACCUCGGCCGGGUAGUGACGAGGAAGGUCAGGGCCCUACUGAGGUUAAAUGAAAUACAAAGUAUAACAAUGUAGAAUAAGACGGUAUAAUUAAGUACAACAAUAAGAGGUAAUACAUGAUGGAAAGAACAAUAAUAACUACAACAGAGACAAAAUAAUCACAGAAAGGAAUACAGCUCAACACAGAGAUAACAGUCGGAGAUCUCCUAGGAUACCGUCUUGUAGUCCCAAAUAUAAAUACCCAGUGGAUCUCCCAGCAUACCGUCCCGUAGUCCAACUCAUAAUGUGCGGGAUCUCCCGGAAUACCGAUCUGUAGUCCCAAAUGUAAAUACUCGAUUGGGGGGAGGGAAUAUACUGGGUGCAGUCUCGUAGUUCCAAUAUAAAAGUGCAGGGGGAUCUCCCGGAAUACCAAUCCGUAAUCCCAAAGUAAACAUGCAGGGGGAAUCUCCCGGGAUACCGUUCCUUAGUCCCAAAGUAAAUACACAGCAGCAACACGAAGAACACUCAAUUCAAUUCAAAUUCCAUACCAAGGUAAAACAAGUAUUUCUAACCUAACAUGUUGCACGAAAUCUAAAUAAGGCAGUUUGAGCAAAUAAAUCAAGUAAGUCAAUUAGACAUGCUUCCCUAAGCUAACAGUAAGCUUAAAUUGCAAGUAGUAUAGACAGGAAAAGAAGCACAACUAUAGUUAAUUAAUGGAAACAGAAUUUUCAACAAUUAGCACAAGUACGCACUCGUCACCUCACGUACAAGGCAUCUCAAAUAUCAAUAAUACCAAUUCUAAGGAGAGUUUCCCCCACACAAGGUUAGGCAAGCCACUUACCUCGGACUGACUCAAAAUCAACCCGAUACCACGCUCUUGCCACGAGUAAUCGACUCCAAAUGGCCAAAAUCUAUUCAAUUUAAUUGCAUAAUAUAAAUAUAACUUCAAGUAAUUGAUUCCACUAAUUAAUUCUAAGCUAAAACGCGAAAUUAAUAAAAAUGACCAAAAUGCCCCUCGGGUCUACGUCUCGGAAUCGGGUAAAAUUUACAAAUUCAGAAUCCUCAUACUCUCACGAGUUCGUUUAUACCAAAAUUAUCCCAAUCCGAUAUCAAAAUCUAGAUCAAAACCCCAAAAUUAGGACUAAGAACUUUCCUCCACUUUUCCUCAAUUUUUAUCCCAAAUCCGAAAUUAAAUGACAAAACCAACAUUAGAUUAUAGGAAUACAACUAGAAAGGGAUUAGGAAUCGUUACCCACUGAUUUCUUCUUCAAAAUCCUUCCAAUAUCGCCCUCUCCCGAGCUCCAAAUCGAUUUUCUAACUUUUGAUUUCAAACCCUCGAAAUGUCUUGUUUUCCGCCCAGCAAAUCCGCUUUUGCGGCCAAGGGACCGCACCAGCGGUCCCGCUUCUGCGGAAACUUACUUGCACCUACGAUAACUCAUUAAUUUCCCAUUUCCGCACCUGCGAUCACUUUACGGCAUCUGCGAUCACGCAGGUGCGUAGACACUUCCGCACAUGCGGCUUCUAGCCUUUCCUCAUCUGGCCGCAUCUGCGGUCUCCCAGCCGCUUCUGCGUCUCCUCACCUGCUGUCCCAGAUCCGCAUGUGCGGUUAUGACAGCAAUCCAGCAGCUUCAGCUGCACACUCUAACUCCCAACUUCCCGUCAACCAUCUGGAAUCAUCCCGAGGCCCUCCGGGACCUCAACCAAAAGUACGAACAAGUUAUAUACCAAUAUUCUAAGCCAAAGAUGCAUAUUUUUCAUGUGGAUGUCAUACUCCUUUCAAGAAGUUGACCCAAACUCAAAAUAUUACUUUUUAAUUUUGGCACAUAAUAAACAUCUUGAAUUAACUUGUGACUACCAUCUUUACAGGAGAUCAGAAUCGUACCUAUCCCUUUGAUUUGAACCUUUGAGGUAUCUCCAAAGGACACAUUAUCUUUCACCAUUUUAUUGAUCUCCACAAACUUCUCUUUACAUCCACAUAUAUGAUUGCUUGCUCCAUUGUCCAAAUACCACGAGCUGCAAUCAUCUCUGUCUUCUUCCUUGAGUGUCAUCAACAACGUUGACUCAUCUUCUUCUUUCUUGUCGUCAACAAGGUUAGCCUUUUCUUCAACAUUGCUACGACAUUCCCAAGAGUAAUAGCCAAAUUUAUGACAAUUAUAACCCUCAAUUUUUGAUUUGUCAUACCUUUGUCCAUUAUUUUCUUGGUAGUAGUCACGUCCUCUUCCUCCUCUUUGUCCACGACCACGACCUCUGAACGUUUGGUGGAUUUUAACUUCAUUGUUGGAGUUGUUACCAUUACUUCUUCCUCUUCCAUGACCGCCUCGUCCUCGUCCUUGUCUGUUUCCUCGAUAGCUUGUUUCACCUCCAUAAUUCUUGAAGGAUGCCUGAGUUUUAAGAAGUUGCUCCAAUGGCACUUCAUGUUUCCUUUUGAUCUUUUCUUCGUGGGCCUGUAGAGAACUUUCUAAUUGCUCCACCAUCAUAGAGUCUAAAUCUUUAGACUCCUCAAUAGCACACUCCACAAAAUCAAAUUUAGGUGUUAAAGUGCGAAGGAUCUUUUCUACCACACAAACAUCUUCUAUGUCCUCCCGUAUCUUCUUAGUUCAUUUACAACAACCUUCACUUUUGAAAAAUAAUCUGAGAUGCAUUCGGAUUCUUUCAUUUUAAAGCUUUAAAAUCAGCCCUUAGAGUUUGAAGUUUUACCUUUUUCACUUUGUCAACUCCUUGAAGAGACUUUUGUAAAAUCCCCCAAGCUUCCUUUGAGGUGGCAGAUACUACCACCUUCUCAAACAUGGCAUUAUCCAAACAUUGGUGGAUGAGCGUGAGAGCUUGUUGAUCCUUCUUCCUUGUCUUUGCCAAGACCUCUUUUUCAUUUUGAGGCAGAGCUUCCUCAUUAUCGGGUUUUGCAUACCCUCUAUCUACGAUUUCCCACACAUUCUGAGAGCCAAGGAUGUCUUUCAUACAUAGACACCAUUUCUCAUAAUUAUCUUUUGUAAGACGGGGGUACUGAAAAGACAACAAACCAUUAUUCGCCAUGGCUCUGAUACCACGUUGGGAUAAAAAAAUAAUAAUAAUCCCGCCCAGGAAUAAUAUCCACGGCAAAAUAAUAAUAAACACAAGAGAGUAACAACGACACCAACUCUUUUAAAUGGGGUAAAAAUACAANNNNNNNNNNNNNNNNNNNNNNNNNGGAUUACUCUCACUGCUUUGCUUUCUCCUUAGCUUCUCUCGUUUUGGUGUGUCUUCAAUGAGGAAUGAAUAGCUCCUUUUAUAGGCACAAUUUUCACCUACCCAACCAAUCUGAUUGGUUCAAAAUUUACAAAGUCCAGCUGCCCAAAUUUUUACAAAUUUUCCAGCCUCCUAAUUUGUGUUAUCUAACUUUACCACAUUUUUCUUUAUUUAGUAGGUGAGGUAUGGACCCCACAUUAUAUGCAUUAAAAAAAUUUUACAGCAGCAAUGAGCAAACUAAGUAACAUAGUGGAUUACACUUGGUUUCUCUCGCACUUUGGACUCAUGAGUUUAUUGACUGCUCGUCACCAACAGUUUGCAAUAGAAUGCAUUUCUAUAUUCUUUAAUUUCUACAUAUCAUCAUCAUUUUGAAUUACAAAGAACUCAGUUAGGGAAAUAGUAGCAGUAGGAUCGCCGCUUGAUACCAGCCACAGAAUGCCAAUUAAAAGGACUCUUGAACAUUAUAUGUGUCGUUGCAUCUUGCCACGGUGCAUUGCAUCACACGGAGCAAUUAGAUGAAUGACGAUUCUAGAAUAAUUAAUGUGGUGUGGUUCCUUCUUUUCCCGUUGUACCGAAAAUUAAUUAAACUCAGCAUUUAAUAUAUACCACACGGAGAGAGGAACUGCUGCACGUGUUAAACAGGAAGCAAAUUUCACCAAAAUCAUUUAAAUCCAUUUGAGUAGAUCAGAAGAAUUCGACUUCUUGGAUAUUUUACCUGUUCCUUUUGAAAAAACAAAAACCUACCUGACCAUUUUGUCUAAAAUAGCAGUUGUACAUCUUCUCUUUUGAUUCCCAUAAUUCUAGUAGGUAGUAACAUAUGUGAAUUUCAUGUCAGUUUCAGCUUCUAGGGGGAGCUUACAAUUAUUUUUGAUUUUUCUUAACUUCCUCAUAUGAUAUUGUAACCACUUCACGAAUCUCUGCUAAGUGAAAAAUAAAUAGGCAAAAUAUAAUUUUUUUGUAACACUGUUGUCAUGUCCCAAGCAUCAAGCAACAAAAGAACUGUCUCUUAUUUAUGUUGCAAGAUAUAAUUGCAAAUGAUAAUCUCCUCGACAUAACAUGGCAGGACAGUUAAUACGAAAGAACUAUUUUUGCUCAUUAAUAACUCAUGCUAUCAUGUAAAAGAACCAAUCAUCAUAACAAACUGUAAUAUGUAUAAUCAAGUGAUACUUGACACUAAUAACUACUGAGUAAGCAAGCAAGGAAAUCAUAACUGCUAAUUAAAAAAUAAACAAAAGGUUUUUUCAUCUCAAAGGAGUUCAUAAGAACUCUAUACUCUUAAUCAAAAUAUAGUAUCUAUUAGCACAAAGAUUUAUUUGAUGAAAUGAGAAAUCAAAUCAAAAUUUUAUUGAACAAUCCGAGGCGUAUUGCAGUUUAUGCCAUAGCGAAGUAUAGAGGAAACUCCUAUAAAAAUGGCUAAACUUAUGAAGAUGUUUUCAAAUAAACAGGAAAAGUACAUUAAAAGUUGCUCAGCUAUAUUUCACAUAUAAAAAAGAUACACUAAUCACAAAUAAGGUAAAACUAACUUGAUUGAAUUGUAGGUACUAAAUUAUUACUACAUGUUUACCUCUUUCUUCUAUAAUUAAUCAGCAAAAAAAUUAGAGUUCUCAUUAACAGGUAAAAAGUAUCUUUUUAUAAUAGCCGAAAAAUUUGUUGUUAGUCAUAAUGAUGUCUGUGGAAUCUGGACGAUAUGAACAAUAAUAUUGUCCAAAAUGAAGCAUCAUAAGCUGCAAAGUUAUAUAUAAAGGACUCCAAAAAUCAGCUAGCAGAUACAUUAUAAAAGGCAUCAAUCAAGUAGCAUUAGAGUUUUCUUAUCCCAAGUUUAUCCUUCAGUAAUGUGAUCAAUUUAUCAUCAAAGGAAGAUGGAUACAACUUGUUUUCAAAAAUAUCAAGCCGAAAAUCUAUUUCAACAUAGGAUUCUAAUGAGCUAUUUACUCUCUAUAAAAGUUCCAAGCCCCUCUUGAUGGCUCUUGCUCUUGUUGUUCAUCACAUGUUAUUUCCCUUCUAUAGAUAUAUUAACAAUACCUGAAAAAGUGAAGUCUUAUGCAAGCUAUUCUUACCCAAGUUUGAUUCUUUCCAAAUGGAUAAGCAAUAUCGUUCUAAGAAAUGGAGAAAAUACAGGCGAUGAGUCCAAAUUUCGAUCACAGAAAACGCAACUACUUGUUCAUACCCCAAAAAAGGAGUCAAGAAAGAAAUAUAAAGAGAGAAAAAUUGUACAUCUUCAAUCACUUUGCCACUUUUGGGCCAUCUCCCCUGUGACUCAAGCAAAUCUGGCUUUGAAAAGUUCACGUAGUACAUAUACUAAAAUAUGUAAAACUUCACAACUUUAUAUUUUGCAUCAAUGUAGGUCAAAAUAUCACUUACACGAAACUAAAACAGAAAACAUAUGAAACAUCACAGAAAGUUGUCAGCUAAGAUUAAGCAUGUGCAUUCAUAUACAUGACAAAGAUGCCCAUGUCUAGAUGAUAUUAUUAAGCUUAUAAUCAAUUUGGAUACUGUAACUUUGAGAGAAGCUCACACGAAAGGCUUGACGAAUCUAUUUAAUUCAUUAAAAUCUCAAGCAAGAAUUUCUUUUAAAUACAUCUUCAUGCAUGAAAAUGUUACCAAAAUCAAGUUCACAUGCCUUGCGAGAAUUCAUAACUAAUCUAGAAAGCUAUGGAAUUUGGUUACUUGAGAAGUUGAAAGCAUUGCUCCUUUAAACUAUGUGGUUACAUGUCAACUCUACUCUAACCCAUAUUUUUAUAUCAUUGGACACAUACUCAUGUUCAAAUAUAUCUCACUGUUAUCACAAAGUACCUGCAUAUAAAAUACGAAAUUGGAACCAGCAUGGAGCAAAAAUUGACUUCUUAACACUUGUAGAUCUCCUUCCCCAAGCUCUUAUCCUGGCCCUUUGGGAUGGUUUCAUCUAAAUGAAGCCAUGCAUAGGUAACUUAUAUUUUAAUGGGUCGUAUUGCCAUGUCAACUCCCAUUUAAUUACCUGCUAGCAAAAGUUGUUCUGAACCGAGUCAGUAAUUAGCUUUUUAUGCAUAGUGAAUUAACUAAAUAGUAUAUAAUACAUAAGAUAUUGUUCAAUAAUUAUGACUAGUAGAAGUAAUAUAGAUUUGGAGUUGCUAAAUGAUAGUAUAUUUAUGUUAUAGAACAACUGGAAAAAAAAGGAAUAAAAGCUCUUUCAGUUGUUUCAGGUUUAUUGUCAAACACUUUUGUUGCAUCAAAGUUCUUCCAUUUUUGUUACUACUAUUUAUUCUUGAUGACAAUUCAGUGCUUCCGUAGAAGAGUUCUAAAAAAUAACUACAUACAUGAAGAAAGAGAAGAAGCAAACAAAUAUCCAAAAUCACAUACUCUGUAGGAGUAUUAAAAAGAAAAACAAAGCGAAAUGCAAAGACACUUUCAGAGAGCGAGUGAAAAUUGUAAAUCAAUAAUCUUAUCAAAAAUAGAAUCGAACAUCUAAAUGCUCAUCAAGAAGAAAAAGAGAAGAAAAUCAGCAAAUCCACAUACAAAGGGAAACCACAAUAGAAAUUUUGAAAUGAAUCAAGAAUCCAUGGCCAAGAGACAAAAACACACAGGAUGACUGAAACUUAUUUUUUUCCCUUACAAAUCUUCUUCCAUAUGCGGAUAGCUUUGCACCGCAAUCAAAUGAAAUUUUGCGAAAUAUGGAGGAAAAAUGAAUCAUCAACCCUCUUAUCUGAAAACUUAAGAAUGUCCUGAAAGAGAACAAGUGAAAGAAGAAAGCUGCUCAUGACACCUAUAGCACUCAUGUCUGCCAUUAAAGCAGUAUACAUACUUCGAAUGAAGAUCAAAUAUGAAAUUACUCCUAAAAUAAUUCAUAAUUUCGAGAAUACAACCUAUUUCACCCUUAAUCGGAACCUUUAAAGAACAAAAUUUUUCCACUAAACACCCCAAUUUACACAAUCAAGAUCAGAAACAAAGAGCAUGCACUAAGGCAUUUCUUUUUCUGACAACGCUAGUAUAUGUGGUACAAUGCACCUAGAUAUUUCUUUCCAGAGAUGCAUAUCAAAAUGAGAUAGAAAAUCUAGCAAGAAAUUAUUCAAAAGAAUAGAGAAACCAACAUCGAACAAAAAUAGACAAAACUUCAAAGAAAUCCAGAACACAACACAAGGAGAAAAAAAAUCGGGGAAAAAACUUAUAAAACUUAAUAAACACAAUAGACGCUAGAAAAUUGAGGCAAACAACAUGAAAAAUCACAAAAAGACAGAAUUCAUGUAAGAAAUAUGAACAUAGACAGAGGAAAAAUCUCAUACUCAAAGGAUCCAAAGAAGCCCAGACGAAUUGUAAAACUCAUUGAACUUGCAGAGUGUGCGAAGGAGAGAGAAUUAGAGGAGUUGUAAUAUGUUUGCACUCUGCAAA